rnacentral:rRNA from 1 species
UACGUAGGGCGCAAGCGUUGUCCGGAAUUAUUGGGCGUAAAGAGCGUGUAGGCUGUUCGGUAAGUCUGCCGUGAAAACCUGGGGCUCAACCCCGGGCUGCGGUGGAUACUGCCGGGCUAGAGGGUGGUAGAGGGCGAGUGGAAUUCCCGGUGUAGUGGUGAAAUGCGUAGAUAUCGGGAGGAACACCAGUGGCGAAGGCGGCUUCUGGUCUGCUCUGACG